GACGAACCGUACGAACGUUAUUCGGAAUCACUGGGCUUAAAGGGUGCGUAGGCGGCGCGACAAGUUGGGUGUGAAAUCCCUCGGCUCAACCGAGGAACUGCGCCCAAAACUGUCGUGCUCGAGGGAGACAGAGGUGAGCGGAACUUAGGGUGGAGCGGUGAAAUGCGUUGAUAUCCUAAGGAACACCGGUGGCGAAGGCGGCAUCCUGGACCGAUACUGACGCUGAGGAGCGAAAGCCCGGGGAGCAAACGGG
rnacentral:rRNA from 1 species